UGGGGAAUAUUGCACAAUGGGCGCAAGCCUGAUGCAGCCAUGCCGCGCGUGUGAAGAAGGCCUUCGGGUUGUAAAGCACUUUCAGCGGGGAGGAAGGCGGUGAGGUUAAUAACCUCAUCGAUUGACGUUACCCGCAGAAGAAGCACCGGCUAACUCCGUGCCAGCAGCCGCGGUAAUACGGAGGGUGCAAGCGUUAAUCGGAAUUACUGGGCGUAAAGCGCACGCAGGCGGUCUGUCAAGUCGGAUGUGAACUCCCCGGGCUCAACCUCGGAACUGCAUUCGAAACUGGGAGGCUGGAGUCUUGUAGAGGGGGGUAGAAUUCCAGGUGUAGCGGUGAAAUGCGUAGAGAUCUGGAGGAAUACCGGUGGCGAAGGCGGCCCACUGGACAAAGACUGACGCUCAGGUGCGAAAGCGUGGGGAGCAAACAGG
rnacentral:rRNA from 1 species